rnacentral:rRNA from 1 species
AAAUGAAUUGACGGGGACCCGCACAAGCAGCGGAGCAUGUGGUUUAAUUCGAAGCAACGCGAAGAACCUUACCAAGACUUGACAUUGUAUGAUUGCCGCAGAGAUGCGGAGUUUCCUUCGGGGACAUACGGACAGGUGGUGCAUGGUUGUCGUCAGCUCGUGUCGUGAGAUGUUGGGUUAAGUCCCGCAACGAGCGCAACCCUUAUUGAUAGUUGCCAAUAUUAAGUUAGGAACUCUAUCGAGACUGCCGUGGAUAACACGGAGGAAGGUGAGGAUGACGUCAAAUCAUCAUGCCCCUUACGUCUUGGGCUACACACGUGCUACAAUGGCUAUUACAAAGAGCAGCGAGGCGGUAACGCGGAGCAAAUCUCAUAAAGAUAGUCUCAGUUCGGAUUGUGGGCUGCAACCCGCCCACAUGAAGUUGGAGUUGCUAGUAAUCCCGAAUCAGCACGUCGGGGUGAAUGCGUUCCCGGGUCUUGUACACACCGCCCGU